UUUGUAUACCCAAACCAAAAACAGUGCUGACAACAUAAAAAGACUCAAGUAUUUGAUAAAUGAAUUAAUGAAAGCUCAACAUUCCAAAAAGGUCAAGUAAGCUGAAGACUAAGAAGCUUAACUGAUUUGCUGCACCUCAGCUCCCUACAUCUCUGCUUUUUCCAUUGGAUUAUUGUUGAAUGUCCAUGUCUUCCUGUUCCUCCUUAAGGGGACAAGAAGAAAUGAAGUCUGUGGGACUAGCAACAGUGACAUGUCCUGACCAUCUCUAGGUGAAGGGACCAGAGGACAGAGUAAAGUGUCCAGAACCCAGUGAGGGACGAUGGAAAACAGAGAAUGUAACGUGGAAGUUAAAGAAUCAGAACACUUCAAAGAAGGGUCUGGAGGCUGAGAUGUUCAAGAUCAAGAUGCCAGCAGAUUUGGUGUCUGACAAGAGCUCACUCCUUCAUUGACCACUAUCUUCUCCAUGUAACCUCUCAUGGAGAAAGGGCUGGAUGUCGAUGCCAGGGCAGACGUGGGAGCCUCCUGUUGAAGAUUAGCCUGAAGGAUCCCUUUCACAUCUCUCCCAUCCCCACUUUAUUGGACUUUAUGCAAAUGAGAAAGCAACAUUUU